rnacentral:misc_RNA from 1 species
UUUCCGUAGGUGAACCUGCGGAAGGAUCAUUAUUGUAUAACCGAGGUGCGAGGGCUGUCGCUGACCCGAAAGGUCGUGCACGCCCGAGUGCCCUCACACAUCCAUCUCACCCCUAUGUGCACCACCGCGUGGGUCCCCCUUUGGCUUGUUCGGAGGGGGGCUUACGUUUUCACACAAACUUUGUAUGCAGUGUAGAAUGUAUUAUUUGUUUUUGCGAUCACGCAAUCAAUACAACUUUCAACAACGGAUCUCUUGGCUCUC